CCGAACAUAACCUUCGGGGGCCGAACAUUGGGCACUUUCGGCAGCCAAACUUACCUUCGGCGGCCGAACCUGGCCUUUGUCCCCAUAACCUUUUCUCUUCCAAACUCAAUCCUAUUCUAGGCAAAUUCGUAAAAAUACUUAAAACAAUCAUCCUUCAAAAUCUUUUAGAAAACCUUCACUCUACCCGUCUAGAAAUCUCUGACAUCCUUGAACUCCUUCAGACAAUAGGAAUUCC
rnacentral:lncRNA from 1 species